rnacentral:rRNA from 1 species
UACGGAGGGAGCUAGCGUUGUUCGGAAUUACUGGGCGUAAAGCGCGCGUAGGCGGCUUUGUAAGUUAGAGGUGAAAGCCCGGAGCUCAACCCCGGAAUUGCCUUUAAGACUGCAUCGCUUGAAUCCGGGAGAGGUGAGUGGAAUUCCGAGUGUAGAGGUGAAAUUCGUAGAUAUUCGGAAGAACACCAGUGGCGAAGGCGGCUCACUGGACCGGCAUUGACGCUGAGGUGCGAAAGCGUGGGGAGCAAACAGG